rnacentral:misc_RNA from 1 species
CACCCCUCAAACUUCAUUGUUUGUUGUUGGGCAUUGCCGGUUAAAAGGCACGCCUAAAAAUCAACGACGGUUCCUACCAACCUCAAGCGUACAAGUAUCGUGAUGGUGGAAGGUUGGGGCUUGUCCUUUAAGUAAUAUCUAAAUG